rnacentral:tRNA from 1 species
GGGGACUUAGCUCAGUUGGUAGAGCACCUGAUUUGCAUUCAGGGGGUCAGGAGUUCGAAUCUCCUAGUCUCCA